rnacentral:rRNA from 1 species
UACGUAGGGCGCAAGCGUUGUCCGGAAUUAUUGGGCGUAAAGAGCUCGUAGGCGGUUUGUCGCGUCUGCUGUGAAAACCUAAGGCUCAACCUUAGGCUUGCAGUGGGUACGGGCAGACUAGAGUGCGGUAGGGGUGACUGGAAUUCCUGGUGUAGCGGUGGAAUGCGCAGAUAUCAGGAGGAACACCGAUGGCGAAGGCAGGUCACUGGGCCGCAACUGACGCUGAGGAGCGAAAGCAUGGGGAGCGAACGGG